AGAUCUACUGCCGGUGGAAGAACUACAAACGAAGUUCAAACUUCUCGUCGACGUAUAUCCGACGAAGUAAGAAAUUUGUAAGGGUUAGAGAGGAGCCUGGAGUCUCGCAAUAUUUCCUUGGAAAGUCUCGCGGCACGGCACGGCACGGCACGGCACAGCACGGCUGGAAUAACACCGGUGAUGCAGCAGAGAGAACGGCGAGAAGUAAAAGACUCGGAAGUUGAUGUGUAAAAGACGACGUGCUAUGAAAGACAAACAAAAAGAAGAAGAAAGAAAGAAAGAAAAAAUGAAUGAAGGAAAAAAAAAGAAAAAAAAGGGAGAAAGACGUUUCAGAAAGUUCCUCUUCCGAAGAAAGAACACGCGAAUCGCUUGCAUACCGAAGCGCAUCGAGAGAAAGCAUUUCUUCGUUCGUUAUUUUCCCAAUAGAUGUUGAAAGAAGAAGAAAGACAAUCGUUAAUAAAAAAGAUAUCGAUGAAUGGCGACGAAAUUGAUUGACCAAAAAGAUAAAAAAAUCUUCGAACUCAUUCAAUUUCAGAUUAUAGAGGAGAAUUGGUAAUUAUCUGCAUAACUUGGCUCUAUUAUUUUCUUCGUUAUCUUUUUAAUUUUUUUUUAUUUUUUUUUUUUUUUUUUAUCAAUACGAAUGUAAUAAAAUAUGUAUAUGGUGUGUAUGUGCGUGUGUAUAGAUAUAUCUAUGCGUGGCACGGAUUCUCACUCGUAGGAACGCGGAAUGCCUUUGAGCGCAUUGCCACUCGUAGAAAUAUUGCUUAUCUCGCAUAUAUAAUUGAAGGGGCGAGGUAAAACAGGAACAGUCGUUCAUGGAAAUAAAAAAAAAAAAAGAAAAAGAUAUAUAUAUAUACAUUACUUCCGGAAUGUUCGGUAUUUCUCGAUUUAUCCCGUAGAAAUUCUCGAAGUAUGAGAAGAAAAGUCAAUUAAAUUUGUUUAUAUCCUUCCAUUUUUACUAACAUUUUUUUUUUUGUCUCUAUCUCGACUCGAGCUAAGAAUUCGAAGAAAAAGAGGAAGAAAAAGCAAAAGAGAUACACCAUUGGACUCUUUAAUCGAUCUGUUAUAAGCAAGAAAUUUCGUCGUUGUUUGCGUUUGAAAAAAAAAAAAGAAAAGGAAAGAAGAAACAACUUUCUUUCAUAAAGAAUCAGUGCAUCGUCGCGCGUAAUUAAACUCAACGAUUUUAGGAGAAAUCCUUUCCGAUAGAAUGCCCGCUUUCUACAAUGUUUUAUGGAAGGGAGGGAUAAACAAGAGAGAGAGAGAGAGAGAGAGAGAGAGAGAAAGAGAGAGAGAAAUAGGAAGAAAAGGAAGAGAACACAAUACAUUGUGCUGACGCAAAUCGGUACGAUCGAAAUCGUCGAGGCAGACUUCCUCCUCCGAACGUAGUUAAGUAUAUUUGUUGAACGAAAGGAAGGAUUUUUCAAAUCUUAUGUGUCGAUCGAUCAUUACGAAUCUCUUUGAGUCUAUUUUCUCAUGAUGACUUUCGCAAAGAAAGUCGAAUCGAUCGUAAAGAGAUUCGAAAGAAGAUCCGGUAUUAUUUAUACCAGGCAUAAUAUAUUUACUACUGUAUUCGACGUUUACGUGCUUUCACGCCUGAUAAUUAUUCAUCGCAUUCCAAUAACGUACGAACAAACAUUCCUGAUUCGAGGUCAUCUUUAACCUAUAACUAGAUGGCUAAAGUAUUUACCAAUUACUACAAUAUAUACUCGAUGCAGGCGCACGAACGGGAACGCACGUGCCAUCGACUAAAGAGUCUCAAAGAUGAAAGAGAAAAGUUUCUUUCAAAAAUGAUGUUGCGUAGUGAGCGAGGAAAGGAUAGGUGGGUGCUUCGGAUGAUUGAACCGAAUGAAUGGAUAGAAGAAAAGAAAGGGGUAUAGAUAUAUAUUUCUAGUGGAUCAUGAAAAAUGACGAAUUAAUGGGUAGGCAUUGAGAAGGAAUAAAUGAAAAAUGAGAUUAGAGUUAUUUCGCCCUGUUAUUUAACGUUCACUAAAAUGAUCACCGUUAACAUACUCGUCCCUUCGUAAGUUUCUCCUCAAUGGAAUUCCUUCCUCUCGUUGGAAGUAAGGAAGGAAUUCCAAAAGGAAUGGAAAGAUAAGGAGAGAAACGUAAAGGAGUAGGGGGUUCCCCCAAGACUUGCGCCCGCGCGCGAGCGCGUGCAUGCGCGCGCGCAAAUCUUAACCCGGUUACAAAAGUGCAAGAUUUUCGUCGAAUCGCGACGAUCGGUUAAAAUUCCCGUUUGUCGGGAUAGUCUCGACCUUAAAAGACAUGCUCGAGGAGAGGCUCGAUCAAGAGGAGAAACUCUUUCGAGGAAUCUCACCGUGAUUCCUCUCUCUUGCGUCUUUGGGAUCGUUAAAGUAUAAUCUUGCUACGUAAGUUUUCUCUCUCUCUCUCUCUUUCUCUCUCUUUCUCUUUAUCUAUCUCUCUCGCACGCUCGUUCGCUCAUUCUUUUUCUUACUUACUUACUUACUUACUGACGAGUGUAGAUAUGCGCGUGCGCGCGAACGCGAAGCAAUUGGAGCACGAUGAAGGAAAAAAGAAGGAGGCUACAUCGACGCAAGGUCAGAUUCUUCUUCCCACCCUCCGCUUGGUACUCUUGAAGAAGGCGACAACGGCACCGCUACAACACGUUCCUUCAAAAUACCUACGCGUCCUCAUAAUCCUUGCUCCUUUGACCGACGAGUUUCCUCUUCGGUUCGGAGCAUACUCGACGAAAAUUAAUAUCCAAGGAAGAUUUUCUAUUCUCUCUCUCUCUCUCUCUCUAUCUUUCUCUCUCUCUCUCUCUCUCUCUUUCCCUCUCUCUCUCUCUCUCUCUCUCUCUCCCUCUCUCUCUCUCUCUGUUUCUGUCUUUCUCUUUCUCUUUCUCGUUUAUCCUCGAGUAAUCAUUGACGACAAGAAAAGUAAUGAUGCCAAGACGGCAGCAUCGAAAUGGAAAACAGCUUUUCCCAAGUUCGAGGAGGGAUCCUUCUGGUUUGCUUCUUUCUUCCGGUUACACGGCCGCGAUGGUUACGACCGUGCAUUGAAAUCACCGAACGUACCGAGUAGUAUGUACCUCAUGUACGGCACCGAAAUUUUUCUCCUUAACUCGCACCACUUUCUUCGCGCAUACCAGCCGUACAUUAACGCUGAGAUUAAAUGAAAGCAGGAAGGAGAAAAUACGGAAGGUCGAGAUAAAUGAGAGCGUGGCCAACACCGGCCAGGCACCUGUCCACGGAGUCGAUGUCUUCGAUCUAUCUAGGACAACGAUGCGUUCGAUGAGGUCCAAUGUAUUUUCUUUCUUAAAGGGGCCCUCGCGUAACUUGCCAUUCGAUAAACUUUUCAAUAAAAAUUUUGAAUCUAUUAAAGACCGGCUGGAAAAAUAUUCUUGCCAACGAGCACGACGUAUACGCGAGACGAUACGACUUCAAAUCGUCCACCUGCCUUCGUCGACGUUCCGAGAAGGUCUGAGGUGAGAGGGACGGCCAUUUUGAGGUACCACGGUGAACGCAGGUGGCGCUACGUGUUCAAGAUCUCGUCCUCCGG